UUCAGCAUGCAGCUGUCAUACGGCGCUAUUUGACAGCUACCGGACAUUUUAAGGUUUUCUACUCAGUGCAUGAUUCCGUUGUGAAUCAAUCAAACCACCUUAAAGGUCAAAAUGAUUACUGACCAAUGUGCGUUCUAAUUGUCUUUCUUGUGUGGCAGACGGCACCUUUAGUUCAGGUGCUGCUCGUGAAUGCAGCUCCCUUUUUCCCUCUGUGCCCCUCCCUCCUCAACUCAACUCAACUCAACUCAACUCAACUUUAUUUAUAAAGCACUUUAAGAACAACAGCAGUUGGACACAAAGUGCUCUAAUCAGGCACCUUAAAGAAUGCAGCUGGAGCCUUCUGUAGGCCUCUUGCUGCUGCUACCGCAGCCCUGUUGGGAUCCCCUUAGUAGUCCUCCACUUAGCUACAGCUCAAAGGUGAAGUUGAAUCCAUUAGUUCAGGAGGCUAGGCACCCUGGGUGAGGGCCCUCCACCUGUUGCAUACGAGUUUGACUCCGUGUCCGUGUUCGUGUUCGUGUUCGUGUUCAUGUCCCCGUCCAAUGUGAGUAUGUGGUAGCACCCCCUGCACCUUCCUUUGUGUAGUCUGCCUCCCUUCUGGUAGCCUCAGCUUACAUUUAGUUGAUCUUGUUUAGUUUAAUUUGGUUGGUUAGUUUAUGUUGGGGGUUCAUUGUAGUUUUUAACAAUAAUUUUAACUGUUGUAGAAGGCCUAUUUUAAAUAUUGUAAAAAUAAAAUACUCUUUAAGCCUCA